rnacentral:rRNA from 1 species
AUUCUGGCUCAGGAUGAACGCUAGCGGCAGGCUUAACACAUGCAAGUCGAGGGGCAUCGGGAGUAGCAAUACUGCCGGCGACCGGCGCAAGGGUGCGUAACGCGUGAGCAACAUGCCCGUAUCAGGGGGGAUAAUCCAUGGAAACGUGGUCUAAUACCCCAUAGUAAUUAUGUAAGGCAUCUUAUAUAAUUUAAAGCUUUGGUGGAUACGGAUUGGCUCGCGUGACAUUAGCUGGAUGGUAAGGUAACGGCUUACCAUGGCUACGAUGUCUAGGGGUUCUGAGAGGAACGGUCCCCCACACUGGAACUGAGACACGGUCCAGACUCCUACGGGAGGCAGCAGUGAGGAAUAUUGGACAAUGGAUGGAAAUCUGAUCCAGCCAUGCCGCGUGCAAGGAAGACCGGCCCUAUGGGUUGUAAACUGUCUUUUGUAUGGGAGCAAUAAGGGCUACGUGUAGUCCGAUGAGAGUACCAUACGAAUAAGCACCGGCUAACUCCGUGCCAGCAGCUGC